rnacentral:rRNA from 1 species
GACGAACGCUGGCGGCGUGCCUAACACAUGCAAGUCGAGCGAUGAAGCCCUUCGGGGCUGAUUAGCGGCGGACGGGUGAGUACCACGGGGGUAACCUGCCUCAUAGAGGGGAGUAGCCUCCCGAAAGGGAGAUUAAUACCUCAUAAUGUAUCUUAGCUGCAUGGCUUAAAUAUCAAAGGAAUAAACCGCUAUGAGAUGGACCCGCGGCGCAUUAGGGUGGUGGUGAGGUAACGGCUCACCAAGGCGACGAUGCGUAGCCGACCUGGGAGGGUGGUCGGCCACAUUGGAACUGAGACACGGUCCAGACUCCUACGGGAGGCAGCAGUGGGGAAUAUUGCGAAAUGGGGGAAACCCUGACGCAGCAACGCCGGGUGAAUGAUGAAGGCCUUAGGGUUGUAAAGUUCUGUCUUCUGGGACGAUAAUGACGGUACCAGAGGAGGAAGCCACGGCUAACUACGUGCCAGCCGCCGCAGUAACAC